rnacentral:lncRNA from 1 species
UUCGGCGCCAAUCCUAGAUUCGAUAGGUUCUGCCAUUAAACUGAAUAUCCAAAUGUGCAUAAAUCCUGAAUCCUAGGCUAUUCUGGCCAAUCAGCAAGAGAAAGAUUUGAGAUUUAAGAAAUUUGCAGCAACAAGAAUUGACUGAUGGCAACUACUAUUUCUUAAUAAGAGUAUUUUACUUAUGUUCUCUGGUUCUUGAGAUUCAAAAUG